CCGGCCUCCGCCCGGCUCCCCGGGCCGGCCUCCGCCCCCCUGCGGACUGCAUGAGCCCGACCCGCCAGAGGCCAGAGUCGGCCGCAGCGCCCCCCAUCGCUGCUCACCGCCCCUCACCGCGCGCUACCCCGAGCCCCCUGCAGCGGCGAAAGGAUUUGGCUCGGCAGCUCCGGCCUAAUUCGUGCGCCCGGAGCGGCGAGUCUGGCCACGAAAAUGAGCCCUCCAGUCUUUCCCGCCCUGCGUUCCCACUGUAUACGUCCUGGUGUGGUCCAGGCGGACCGGGCAAUGCUGGCGGGGCGCAGCCCGCAGUCCCAUGGCUCGCACGUUACAGGGACUGUAAUCAACAGGCAAGCUGCCACCCCAGCCCACCGACACCUCCUGGCCAGACCCGGUUUCCAGGCGAGCGGAGGCUUCCGCACGCUGGGUGGAGUGGGAUGCUGUAGGCCAGAGAAAACACUAGAAGCGAUGGUGCCAGAGAGGAAAGACAAAGCAUCUCCGAGUCACCUCGGGAGAGAGACACAGAAGUGGCAGCUUGCAAGGCUGUCCACUUUGUUGACUUUCUUACUAUACAAGGUCAUUGUUCAGUAAGGCUUGGUGGUACACCUUGCUGCAGCUUUCAUCUCUUCUCUCCAUCAGCCGUGCUGGACAGUUUCUCACCAGACAUCAGCCCAGGGGAACCACAGUCUCCACAACUUCCAAAGACAAAGCAGCAGGAGGACCCAUUUGAAAAGCCCACCAUUUACAAUAUAGAGGCACUGAGGACAAAGGACUAAACUUCACCUUCAGACGCCUCAAACAGAAUGGUCCUUGCAAGGAAUCUGAAAACUGGCAGUGAGUGUGUAAAUACCAAACUGACCUCCCUCUAAAGGAGCAAGUGACACCAAUUUCAAAUUUCCCUCCACAGAUAAUGGAAAGGAGCAGACGAGCAAGGCUUACAUCCUGUCAUCCACCAGUGCAUGGAAGCACUAACCAGGCUUUGGAAUAAAUGGGCAUCUUUCCUUC